rnacentral:rRNA from 1 species
UACGUAGGUGGCAAGCGUUGUCCGGAUUUACUGGGCGUAAAGGGCGUGCAGGCGGUCUGUUAAGUGCAGGGUGAAAGCUCCCGGCUCAACUGGGAGAGGUCCUUGCAUACUGGCGGACUUGAGGGGGGUAGAGGAAAGUGGAAUUCCCGGUGUAGUGGUGAUAUGCGUAGAUAUCGGGAGGAACACCUGUGGCGAAGGCGGCUUUCUGGUCUGUAACUGACGCUGAGGCGCGAAAGCGUGGGGAGCAAACAGG